GAGAGAGACAUGCGCGCAUAUCAAUAAGCGGAGGAAAAGAAACUAACAAGGAUUCCCUUAGUAACGGCGAGUGAAGCGGGAAGAGCUCAAAUUUGAAAUCUUCAAGGUUUUACCUUGACGAAUUGUAGUUUAAAGAAGUGUUUUCUGCUGAAGUUUUAGUAAAAGUUCUUUGGAAUAGGACAUCAUAGAGGGUGAGAAUCCCGUAUUUGACCAUUAUUUUCAGCUUUGUGAUACACUUUCAAAGAGGUCGGAUUGUUUGGGAAUGCAGUCCAAAAUGGGUGGUAAAUUUCAUCUAAAGCUAAAUAUUGGCGAGAGACCGAUAGCGAACAAGUACCGUGAGGGAAAGAUGAAAAGAACUUUGAAAAGAGAGUUAAACAGUACGUGAAAUUGUCAAAAGGGAAGCGUUUGACACCAGUGUUGUUUUCUCGAAAAUCAAUUAAAAAUGGCUCGAUUUUGUAUUGCUUGAGACCUUAAAAGCUCACUGUACAUUUUUCGUGUCUUUUUUAAUGCACUUUUCGUUUAACAAGUCAACAUCAGUUUCUUUUGUUGUAAAAGGGUCAUUGGAAGGUGGCUUUCUUUUCGGAGAAAGUGUUUAUAGCCUUUGGCCUCUGCAAUCGAAGAGACUGAGGUCUGCAGCGUAGACUCUUCGGGGUUAGAUACAUUUGUAGCUAAGUUAUAGCUUUUUAUAGACAACUUGUUGACUAUAAUUAGUCUUGUAGCUUACUCGCUUAUGCUAUUUUACCUACGCUUAGGAUGUUGAAGUCAUCGUAUCGCGC
rnacentral:rRNA from 1 species